UACGUAGGGUGCAAGCGUUGUCCGGAAUUAUUGGGCGUAAAGAGCUCGUAGGCGGUUUGUCGCGUCCGCUGUGAAAACUCGGGGCUUAACCCCGGGCCUGCAGUGGGUACGGGCAGACUAGAGUGCGGUAGGGGAGACUGGAAUUCCUGGUGUAGCGGUGAAAUGCGCAGAUAUCAGGAGGAACACCGGUGGCGAAGGCGGGUCUCUGGGCCGUAACUGACGCUGAGACGCGAAAGCGUGGGGAGCAAACAGG
rnacentral:rRNA from 1 species